CUGCAGUGAUGGCUACCCUGCAUGUUGGACACUGGCUGUUCUUCUCCAACCAAACUUUAAUGCAGCUGUUGCAGAACACGUGGUUGUUGCAACAAAUGACGGGCUGACGCACCUGUGAUGCAACAGAACAAAACAACAGGGAUUGCUUUCAUUCCGGGAGACGCAGUAGAAGCCGUCCGCCCGGCCCGGCUCAGGCACUCCUCACUCGCCCCUGCAUGGAGCUCGUCUCCGCUCCUCUGUCCCGACCCUCUCUGAUUUAUCUUCUCCCGGUGGCCCGCGACCGUCCGAAGAGAUCCACGAAGGUCCUGACCUUCCCCCCCAGACACCGGUUUCUCUCGGGAGGGGUUUUCCUUCUGUGGAUGAUUGACAGCUAAUUGGCAGCUAUAGAUAAAAAACUGAUGGGUUUAGAGUGACCUAAAGGAGCGACAAGAAGAAUGUGCACACUUCAUAUUAGGGUCAUCCUGGGUUAAUGUCACUAAAUCAUUUAGAUUAAAUGUGCUUAGAAGUCUGUAUUCAUGCU